GGAGCUUGCUCUUCUUGGAUGAGUUGCGAACGGGUGAGUAACGCGUAGGUAACCUGCCUUGUAGCGGGGGAUAACUAUUGGAAACGAUAGCUAAUACCGCAUAACAAUGGAUGACACAUGUCAUUUAUUUGAAAGGGGCAAUUGCUCCACUACAAGAUGGACCUGCGUUGUAUUAGCUAGUAGGUGAGGUAAUGGCUCACCUAGGCGACGAUACAUAGCCGACCUGAGAGGGUGAUCGGCCACACUGGGACUGAGACACGGCCCAGACUCCUACGGGAGGCAGCAGUAGGGAAUCUUCGGCAAUGGGGGCAACCCUGACCGAGCAACGCCGCGUGAGUGAAGAAGGUUUUCGGAUCGUAAAGCUCUGUUGUAAGUCAAGAACGGGUGUGAGAGUGGAAAGUUCACACUGUGACGGUAGCUUACCAGAAAGGGACGGCUAACUACGUGCCAGCAGCCGCGGUAAUACGUAGGUCCCGAGCGUUGUCCGGAUUUAUUGGGCGUAAAGCGAGCGCAGGCGGUUUGAUAAGUCUGAAGUUAAAGGCUGU
rnacentral:rRNA from 1 species